GCAGGCAGAAUACAAAUGAAGUCAGACAGGCAAGGGUCAAAGCUGGGAUAUCAAUCGAGAGGAGUCAAUACAGGCACAGAUCGGAUUACAGAGAGUAGAAUAGUCGAAUCACCAGGCAGGGGUCAGGAUACCAGAAGUCAGAUUAGUCAGGCAGGCAGGGGUCAAAAACAGGAGUCAGAUAUCAGCUAACAGGCAGGAAUACAAAUACAGAGCACCAGGAACUCAUGAAGAAUGAUCCUAUAACGGGCAAUGAUCUAAAGCCAAAAUGCGCCUUUUAAACACUUCGAAUUCCGUGCCAUUGCGCGCUGACAUAAGCACGCCAUCGCAAAUGCCCCUAUAAAGGGAGCAGAGGCGCGGCACCCACGCCAUGAGAACCGGCAACACCAGAGGAAGAGGACGUACCUCACUCGUCCCUGCCGACCUCCUCCCACUAGACCACCACGAAAUCACCAGGUGGAUAAAUCCUUUGAAGAAAUUAGUAAUCUGACAAUGCAGUACCCAUGCACAGGAUUGGCCUAAUCAUCAUUUCCAAAUCGCAUCACUGGGACCUUACCAAACAGAAGGUCAGGCAUGGGAAGAUCUUGGCCCUGGUGGCCCUUAAAAAGGUCUUGCAGCACUGAUCAUGGGAGGACUGACCAUUUACUUGUAUGGAGAUU